rnacentral:rRNA from 1 species
AUGACAGACCUGGCCCACGAGCACUUCACUAAGAUUUUCGGCACAAACAAGCACAUAUCAGUUGUGCUUAAUUGGGAUGAAUUGAGCCUUGAACACGUUGAUCUCCAGGAUCUUGAGCAAGAAUUAUCACUCGAAGAAGUUAAGAAGGCGGUGGAUGCAAUUCCGGCGGAUAAGGCGCCAGGGCCCGACGGCUUCUCGGGGGGCUUCUUCAAAACCUGCUGGGACACGAUCAAGUGGGACCUGCUCGCUGCCCUCCAACAGCUAUACAGAAUCGAUAGCCGAGGUCAGGAUCGUGUCAACCACGCACUCCUAGUGCUCAUCCCAAAGACAUUGGGUGCGGAUGCCCUACAGAAUUUUAGGUCGAUCUCCUUACUCCACAGUGUAAUCAAAAUCUUCUCAAAGAUCCUUGCUUUGCGGCUAGCCCCAAAGCUCAGCGCCCUGGUGGAUCAAUGUCAGAGUGCAUUCAUAAAAAAGAGCAGCAUACAAUAGAACUUCCUACACGUCUAGAACACUGCAAGACUCUUUCAUAAGUCUAGGAAACCUGCUGUUCUCCUCAAACUUGACUUGGCAAAAGCCUUCGACUUGAUUUCUUGGGCCUAUCUCCUGGACAUGCUCGAAGCAAGAGGUUUUGGUCAAAGGUGGAGGGAAUGGUUUGCCAUGCUAUUACGCACAUCCGCAUCGAGGGUCAUGAUAAAUGGACAACAAUCGGAGAUCAUUCACCACAUGUGUGGAUUGCGGCGAGGGGACCCCAUAUGUAACGCCCCGGAUCCGAUGCGCCAGGUGUCUGCCAGUUAUUCGCCGUCGUUGCCAUGUCAUUUGCUUGCGUGUUGCAUUUUGCCAUGUCAUCAUCUGCAUUUCAUCUGCAUGUUUUUCAAAACUUGCAUCCGUUCGGGUUCCGCCGGUUCUCUCCGUUGUCCGUUCGGAGUCCAGACCUCUCGCGCGCGCCCGUCGCCCCUCUCAGACCUUGUUUUCGUGAGCGGGGUAAAAACGUUCUCGGAAUGGACCGAGGUUUGCCGAGUGGCCUUGGUAUAG